rnacentral:sRNA from 1 species
CGCUUCACCAGCGUCCUGGUGGUGUCCAGUCUCUCACCCCUGUGCGUGCUGCUCUGGAGGGAACUCACAGGCAUCCAGGCACAUCCCUGCUCACCCUGAUGGGCUUCAGGCUGGAGGGCAUUUUCCCAGCGGCGCUGCUGCCCCUGUUGCUAACCAUGAUUCUUUUCCUGGGCCCACUGAUGCAGCUCUCUAUGGAUUGCCCUUGUGACCUGGCAGAUGGGCUGAAGGUUGUCCUGGGUCAUCUCAAGACAUUGGGUUUAUGUUGGGUCCACACCCCCGUCCUCAGGAGUAUUGAUGCCU